rnacentral:rRNA from 1 species
GACGAACGCUGGCGGCGUGCUUAACACAUGCAAGUCGAACGGUAAGGCCCUUCGGGGUACACGAGUGGCGAACGGGUGAGUAACACGUGGGUGAUCUGCCCUGCACUUCGGGAUAAGCCUGGGAAACUGGGUCUAAUACCGGAUAGGACCCUGGGAUGCAUGUCCUGGGGGGGAAAGCCUUUGCGGUGUGGGAUGGGCGCGCGGCCUAUAAGCUUGUUGGUGGGGUGAUGGCCUACCAAGGCGACGACGGGUAGCCGGCCUGAGAGGGUGACCGGCCACACUGGGACUGAGAUACGGCCCAGACUCCUACGGGAGGCAGCAGUGGGGAAUAUUGCACAAUGGGCGCAAGCCUGAUGCAGCGACGCCGCGUGAGGGAUGACGGCCUUCGGGUUGUAAACCUCUUUCAGCACCGACGAAGCGCAAGUGACGGUAGGUGCAGAAGAAGGACCGGCCAACUACGUGCCAGCCGCCGCAGUAA